rnacentral:rRNA from 1 species
GACGAACGCUGGCGGCGUACCUAAUACAUGCAAGUAGAACGCUGAAGAGAGGAGCUUGCUCUUCUUGGAUGAGUUGCGAACGGGUGAGUAACGCGUAGGUAACCUGCCUUGUAGCGGGGGAUAACUAUUGGAAACGAUAGCUAAUACCGCAUAACAAUGGAUGACACAUGUCAUUUAUUUGAAAGGGGCAAUUGCUCCACUACAAGAUGGACCUGCGUUGUAUUAGCUAGUAGGUGAGGUAAUGGCUCACCUAGGCGACGAUACAUAGCCGACCUGAGAGGGUGAUCGGCCACACUGGGACUGAGACACGGCCCAGACUCCUACGGGAGGCAGCAGUAGGGAAUCUUCGGCAAUGGGGGCAACCCUGACCGAGCAACGCCGCGUGAGUGAAGAAGGUUUUCGGAUCGUAAAGCUCUGUUGUAAGUCAAGAACGGGUGUGAGAGUGGAAAGUUCACACUGUGACGGUAGCUUACCAGAAAGGGACGGCUAACUACGUG